ACUUUCAGCGGGGAGGAAGGCGAUAAGGUUAAUAACCUUGUCGAUUGACGUUACCCGCAGAAGAAGCACCGGCUAACUCCGUGCCAGCAGCCGCGGUAAUACGGAGGGUGCAAGCGUUAAUCGGAAUUACUGGGCGUAAAGCGCACGCAGGCGGUCUGUCAAGUCGGAUGUGAAAUCCCCGGGCUCAACCUGGGAACUGCAUUCGAAACUGGCAGGCUAGAGUCUUGUAGAGGGGGGUAGAAUUCCAGGUGUAGCGGUGAAAUGCGUAGAGAUCUGGAGGAAUACCGGUGGCGAAGGCGGCCCCCUGGACAAAGACUGACGCUCAG
rnacentral:rRNA from 1 species